UACGUAGGGUGCGAGCGUUAAUCGGAAUUACUGGGCGUAAAGCGUGCGCAGGCGGUUUGGCAAGUCAGAUGUGAAAUCCCCGAGCUCAACUUGGGAACUGCGUUUGAAAACUGCCAGACUAGAAUAUGUCAGAGGGGGGGUAGAAUUCCACGUGUAGCAGUGAAAAUGCGUAGAGAUGUGGAGGAAUACCAAUGGCGAAGGCAGCCCCCC
rnacentral:rRNA from 1 species